rnacentral:rRNA from 1 species
GAUGAACGCUAGCGGCAGGCCUAAUACAUGCAAGUCGAACGGUGUCUUCGGACAUAGUGGCGCACGGGUGCGUAACACGUAUGCAACCUACCUUACAUUGGGGGAUAGCCCUUCGAAAGGGAGAUUAAUACCGCAUAAGACAGUAGCUGGGCAUCCAGCAGCUGUUAAAGAUUUAUCAAUGUAAGCUGGGCAUGCGUCCAAUUAGCUAGUUGGUGAGGUAACGGCUCACCAAGGCAAUGAUUGGUAGGGGAACUGAGAGGUCAAUCCCCCACACUGGCACUGAGAUACGGGCCAGACUCCUACGGGAGGCAGCAGUAGGGAAUAUUGGGCAAUGGACGCAAGUCUGACCCAGCCAUGCCGCGUGCAGGAUGAAGGCGUUAUGCGUUGUAAACUGCUUUUAUACAGGAAGAAACGACUCUUGCGAGAGGCAUUGACGGUACUGUAUGAAUAAGCACCGGCUAACUCCGUGCCAGCCGCCGCAGUAAGAC